rnacentral:rRNA from 1 species
ACGACUCUCGGCGACGGAUAUCUCGGCUCUCGCAUCGAUGAAGAACGUAGCGAAAUGCGAUACCUGGUGUGAAUUGCAGAAUCCCGCGAACCAUCGAGUCUUUGAACGCAAGUUGCGCCCGAGGCCACUCGGCCGAGGGCACGCCUGCCUGGGCGUCACGC